GCUACAGUAGCUUAAAGAAAAGCACUCGACUGUUAAUUGAGAAGAUGUACACCACUACCUGGCGCA
rnacentral:tRNA from 1 species